UCCCCUACAGCUCCCCACCUCGUUUUGUAGUUUUAUUUGACAACAAUUCUUCAGACUUUGUUGAGACGUGAUUUCUACUAAGAACAUUGUGAAUGUCUGUGCCAUCUACAUCAUUCAUGGAGCUGAUCAAUUCUACUAUAGAUUAAUCUACUGCCUUUAGUUUCCUCUAGGUUCACUUCCUAUCUCUCAUCAAUUCGAGCUGCUGAAGUCAUGAUCUGUGAGCUCAAAAUGAAAGAUAUUAUUCUCACAGCCUUUGAGGAAACACCCAGGAAGGAGGAAUGCACAGUGUUGUCAGGACCCAUGUUAGGACUCAUCCACAGCUGGCACAGUCUGACUCAUCCCAGGCAAACACCCAGAGUGAAGUUGUAUGAAAGAGACAGCAGUGAUCAAAGGGAAAACGUGUGUUCAUCCUUCAUUCUGUAAACAUCUUAUGAAAAUACGAUUUAAGUGAUGUGUGGUUUCAAGAACAGAAAAUGUGGCAGCCAAAUGUUGAUACUGAGAUGGGAGAUCCUAGGUCUUGAUCAGUACUCAGGAGCCAUGGUGUUCUGAUGCAUUUAUGAUCCUCUGGGAGAAAAAAAAACAGGUAUUUUUAUGAGAAAGAAAGACAACAUUUUAUCUGUAACUGCCUCAGGAAUCUAUGUCCUCUGACAAUGACUCAAAGUAAAAGUUACAAACCCAUACCAGCACAAUAAAAGUUACA